GGGAAGGGAGAGCAAGGGAGGCUGCAGAGGGAAGAGAGCUGCAUCCGACUGGGCUCCAGGCAAGGUCACUGAAAGCUCUGGAUUAUACCCAGGCAGCACGGACACCGUAAUAUGCAAGCCCUGAAACUGCAGCGCCUGCUCCACUACACAGCAAAAUAGGUCGUGCAUCAGCAAAUGAAAAAGGACAGAUGGUGUCUGCUAAUACAGCUUAGUUUAUGGCCUGUAGGAUUAACUCACUAGUUGUCAUGCCUGCAGAAGAUAGGAAAUGGGUGGGUUGGGUGGAGGAAACAGCAGGCCCAGCCCUACCUGUUUGUAAGGUGCACAAGCUGGAAAGGAUGUCAGAGAUGCUGUGACGUUUUAAGAUGCUGCCAAAGGACUGCCAGCAUAGCAUCUCUUCUGGGGCACUAAAGCUAGUGCCUUGCACCAAGCUCUUCUGUCCAGCUCCAAUUCCCCCACUACUACUGCAAAGGUCAGGUCUGUAAAAAGAGAAAGAUGCUCAGCCACGCAGGCAUCCCCAGCAGAGACAGGGACACCACCUACAGUCUAUGCACCAACAACCGCUCUGCAGGAGAGAAGCCACAGCUUCCUGCCCUCUGCCACCUAGGGGACAGUCUCCAGUUCAACCUUUUGAACUCCCAAGCACUCGUGCAUCUGCAGGAGUGAGACAGAAAGCUGAGGCAGAAGCCUCAGGUCUUUUCAGUGCUUUCUAUGUGACACACUGUUCUCCUUUCCUGGAAAUCAGGCCAGUGCCUCACUCUGCACUCAUUGCAGAAGACAAGCUCUGUGCCAGCACUGUCACUUCUCUGCAUCUGCUGUCUGAGGGCAAAACAAACCCUUCCCCGGUUCCCCAUGAAUGAUCCUCCUGAAGGUUUCACCUUGAUCUUUGCUAUCUGUGCUGUGGUCAGCUUUGCUCCAACCCUGCAGACACUGAGCUCCCCGAAACAUAGCUGUGAUCACAAGGAGAGGCUCCCAAGGCAGCGCUGGGCUCCAGCCCCGCUGUGUCUCUUGCUCCCCCCAAGUGUCACAGACAGGUGGCUGCCACUCGCUGCCAGAGGUGUUUGUCACCCCCACUGUCUCUUAACCACAACCAGCUGUCAC
ensembl:lncRNA